ACAUUGGAGGACUGUGCUCUACUGCCUUGGAGGACCCCUGCCUACUGCCCUAGAGAACUCUUUGCUCGCCCUGGAGGACCUCAGCCAAUCUUGGAGGACUUAGGCCUACUCUGGAGAACCUCAGCCUAACUUGGAGAAUCUCAAGUCUACUGCCCUGGAGGACCUGGGCACUCUCUAUCCACCCUGGAAGACCCUCUGCUUGUCUUGGAGGACCCAGACACUUCCAGCCCACCCUAGAGGAUGGAGGACUCUCUGCCCACCUUGGAGGACCCAGGCACUCCCAGCCCACCUUGGAGGACUCUCUACCCACCCUGGAGAACCUGGGCACUCCCAGCCCACCCUGGGGAACUUUCUGCCUACCCUGGAGGACCCAGGCACUCUCUGCCCACCCUGGAGGACCUGGACACUCUCUGCUUGGCUUGGAGAACCCAGACACUCCCUACCCACUCUGGGGAACUCUCUGCCCACUCUGGAGGACCCAGACACUCUCUAUCCACUCUGAAAGACUCUCUACUUGUCUUGUAAGACCCGGGCACUCCCAGCCCACCCUGGAGGACUCUCUGCUCACCCUGGAGGACCCAGGCACUCUCUAUCCACCCUGGAGGACCCAGGCACUUCCAGCCCACCCUAGAGGAUGGAGGACUCUCUGCCCACCUUGGAGGACCCAGGCACUCCCAGCCCACCCUGGGGAACUUUCUGCCUACCCUGGAGGACCUGGACACUCUCUACUUGUCUUAGAGAACCCAGACACUCCCUACCCACCCUGGAAGACUCUCUGCCCACCCUGGAGGACUCUCUGCCCACCCUGGAGGACCCAGGUACACUCUACCCACCCAGAAGGACUCUCUGCCCAUCCUGGAGAACCGAGGCACUCCCAACCCACCCUGGAAGACUCUCUGCUCACCCUGGAGGACCCAAGUACACUCUACCCACCCAGGAGGACUCUCUACCCACCCAGGAGGACCCAGACACUCUCUGCCCACCCUGGAGGACCUGGACACUCCCAGCCCACCCUAGAGAACUCUCUGCCUGUCUUGGAGGACCCAGGCACUCCCGUCCCGUCCCCCCCCCGGAGCACCCGCGGGGCCCUGCCCACCUGUAGGCCCGCCCRCGGGGGCGGCUGUAGCCGCUGUAGAAGCGGGCCCGGGCCGCGCUGUAGCCGCCGCCGCGGCCCCGGUAGCGGGCGCGGGGGAAACCCCGGUCCGUCG
rnacentral:lncRNA from 1 species